rnacentral:rRNA from 1 species
CACAUGCAGUCGAGCGGGGAAAGGUAGCUUGCUACUGGACCUAGCGGCGGACGGGUGAGUAAUGCUUAGGAAUCUGCCUAUUAGUGGGGGACAACAUUCCGAAAGGAAUGCUAAUACCGCAUACGUCCUACGGGAGAAAGCAGGGGACCUUCGGGCCUUGCGCUAAUAGAUGAGCCUAAGUCGGAUUAGCUAGUUGGUGGGGUAAAGGCCUACCAAGGCGACGAUCUGUAGCGGGUCUGAGAGGAUGAUCCGCCACACUGGGACUGAGACACGGCCCAGACUCCUACGGGAGGCAGCAGUGGGGAAUAUUGGACAAUGGGGGGAACCCUGAUCCAGCCAUGCCGCGUGUGUGAAGAAGGCCUUAUGGUUGUAAAGCACUUUAAGCGAGGAGGAGGCUACUAGUAUUAAUACUACUGGAUAGUGGACGUUACUCGCAGAAUAAGCACCGGCUAACUCUGUGCCAGCAGCCGCGGUAAUACAGAGGGUGCGAGCGUUAAUCGGAUUUACUGGGCGUAAGGCGUGCGUAGGCGGCCAUUUAAGUCAAAUGUGAAAUCCCCGAGCUUAACUUGGGAAUUGCAUUCGAUACUGGAUGGCUAGAGUAUGGGAGAGGAUGGUAGAAUUCCAGGUGUAGCGGUGAAAUGCGUAGAGAUCUGGAGGAAUACCGAUGGCGAAGGCAGCCAUCUGGCCUAAUACUGACGCUGAGGUACGAAAGCAUGGGGAGCAAACAGGAUUAGAUACCCUGGUAGUCCAUGCCGUAAACGAUGUCUACUAGCCGUUGGG